GACGAACGCUGGCGGCGUGCCUAACACAUGCAAGUCGAACGGAAAGGCCCUGCUUUUGUGCGGUGCUCGAGUGGCGAACGGGUGAGUAACACGUGAGUAACCUGCCCUUGACUUUGGGAUAACUUCAGGAAACUGGGGCUAAUACCGCAUAGGAUCUCCUGCUGCAUGGUGGGGGUUGGAAAGUUUCGGGGGUUGGUGAUGGACUCGCGGCUUAUCGGCUCGUUGGUUGGGUAGUGGCUAACCAAGGCAUUGACCGGUAGCCGACCUGGGAGGGGAGCCGGGCCAGUUAGGACGGGGAUGAGGCACAGACCCGAACGGGAGGCAACGGUGGAGAGGGUAACACAGUGGACGGAAGGCUGGUGCAAUAACGCCGCGUGGGGGAUGAGAGGCAGGGGGUAGUGAACCGAAGCCGCCUGAGACGGGGCGAGAAUGACGGUACUGGGUGAAGAAGCACCGGCUAACUACGUG
rnacentral:rRNA from 1 species